ensembl:lncRNA
CUUAUGAUAGACUGAUUGCACUACUGGUCUUAAUUCUUCACACUUGCCUAGAGCCACUCUGCCCUGAGAAUUCCUAUCUCCUCUAAAUAAAGAGGUGCAAUCUAGUUCCUUCUCCUUUGAAUCAGGGUUUUCCUCUGGCUGACUUUGGCCAAUAAGAGCUGGAAAUGACAGUGUGUCAGUUCCAAGCCUAGCUCAGAAGGCAUUGCAUAUUUUCCUCUGACUCACACACUCUGCCAUUACCAUGAGAACAUGCCUGGGUUAGCUGCCUGCAGAGCAAAAAUAGCAAAACCAAGUCAUCUCCGUUACCCCAAUGGGGGCCAACCCAGAGUAGCCAAUAAGACACCAAUCUUUGUACAUAUGGGGAAGAAACAGAGCAAUGAAGAUAUUCAUCACACAAUUUGAAUGAACAGUGACUGGUAGGUUAAUUUCCUUUCACUGAGAAACUUGGACUUUGUUGCUAGAAUAUUCUAUUUGGAGCAUGAAUCCCACAAAUCACUGAACCAUUGAUUUUAAUACUAAAUUUAUUUUAAAACAACUUUCAGGGAGUUCCCAUCAUGGCUCAGUGGUAACAAACCCAACUAGUUUCCUUGAGGACGUGGGUUUGAUCCCUGGCCUCGAUCAGUGGGUUAAGGACCUUGAGGUGGGCUGUGGUGUGGGUCACAAACGCAGCUUGGAUCCUGCAUUGCUGUGGCUGUGGCAUAGGCUGGUAGCUGCAGCUCCAAUUUGACCCCUAGCCUGGGAACUUCCAUAUGCCAUGGGUGCAGCCCUAAAAAGACUAAUAAAAUACUUUUAAUGUUUUACAUUGUUGAUUCAACACUCUUAGGAAGAUAAGUAAAGUGUAUAUUCAUCACUUGCAUUUUAGAGAUUGUAUAAAAAGAAAGAAGUACACAUCCAAAGGGACACAUACAAUGUUUUUUAAAAAACUCUACAAAUUCACUUUUAUUCUAUGGAAAUUUUC